GUGAAUCAUCGAAUUUUUGAACGCAAAUUGCACUCUCUUCGGAGAGUAUGCCUGUUUGAGGGUCAGCCUAAAAAAAUUGGACAUCGUUGUUGUUUCGGGGUGGGGUUGGUGGGAAAUUGGGUUUCUUUAAACCUUUGGUUUAAGGGCUUUAAAUUUUUCUUUCGGAUUCAUGGACGGUUUCCAAGAUUGAUUUUUUUACAUGUUAAGGGUUUCGAUUUUAUAUGGCGU
rnacentral:misc_RNA from 1 species